GAUGAACGCUAGCUACAGGCUUAACACAUGCAAGUCGAGGGGUAGCAGGGUAGCAAUACCGCUGACGACCGGCGCACGGGUGAGUAACACGUAUCCAACCUUCCCAUAACUCUGGGAUAGCCUUUACGAAAGAAAGAUUAAUACCGGAUGGUACUUUUCAAGGCAUCUUGAGAAAGUUAAAGAUUUAUUGGUUAUGGAUGGGGAUGCGUUCCAUUAGAUAGUUGGUGAGGUAACGGCUCACCAAGUCUUCGAUGGAUAGGGGUUCUGAGAGGAAGGUCCCCCACAUUGGUACUGAGACACGGACCAAACUCCUACGGGAGGCAGCAGUGAGGAAUAUUGGUCAAUGGGCGAGAGCCUGAACCAGCCAAGUAGCGUGAAGGAUGAAGGUCCUAUGGAUUGUAAACUUCUUUUAUAGUAGAAUAAAGUGAUCCACGUGUGGAUUUUUGUAUGUAUACUAUGAAUAAGGAUCGGCUAACUCCGUG
rnacentral:rRNA from 1 species